AUACGUAGGGUGCAAGCGUUAAUCGGAAUUACUGGGCGUAAAGCGUGCGCAGGCGGUUUUGUAAGACAGAGGUGAAAUCCCCGGGCUCAACCUGGGAACUGCCUUUGUGACUGCAAGGCUGGAGUGCGGCAGAGGGGGAUGGAAUUCCGCGUGUAGCAGUGAAAUGCGUAGAUAUGCGGAGGAACACCGAUGGCGAAGGCAAUCCCCUGGGCCUGCACUGACGCUCAUGCACGAAAGCGUGGGGAGCAAACAGGAUUAGAUACCCUGGUAGUCCACGCCCUAAACGAUGUCAACUGGUUGUUGGGGAUUUAUUUUCUCAGUAACGAAGCUAACGCGUGAAGUUGACCGCCUGGGGAGUACGGCCGCAAGGUUAAAACUCAAAGGAAUUGGCGGGG
rnacentral:rRNA from 1 species